rnacentral:rRNA from 1 species
UGAAAUGCGUAGAGGUCUGGAGGAACAUCAGUGGCGAAGGCGACUGACUGGCACUACACUGACGCUGAGGUACGAAAGCGUGGGGAGCGAACAGGAUUAGAUACCCUGGUAGUCCACGCCCUAAACGAUGAGGACUGGCUGUCAGUGCUAUAGACGCAUUGGUAGCGAAGCUAACGCGUUAAGUUCUCCGCCUGGGGAGUACGGCCGCAAGGCUGAAACUCAAAGGAAUUGACGGGGGCCCGCACAAGCGGUGGAGCAUGUGGUUUAAUUCGAUGCAACGCGAAGAACCUUACCAUCCCUUGACAUCCUCAGAACGGUCUGUAGUGGGCCCGUGCCUUCGGGAACUGAGUGACAGGUGCUGCACGGCUGUCGUCAGCUCGUGUCGUGAGAUGUUGGGUUAAGUCCCGCAACGAGCGCAACCCCUAUCUAUAGUUGCCAGCACGUAAUGGUGGGAACUCUAUAGAGACUGCCGGUGAUAAGCCGGAGGAAGGUGGGGACGACGUCAAGUCAUCAUGGCCCUUACGGGAUGGGCUACACACGUGCUACAAUGGUGUAUACAGAGGGUUGCCAAGCCGCGAGGUGGAGCUAAUCCCAGAAAGUACAUCUUAGUCCGGAUCGCAGUCUGCAACUCGACUGCGUGAAGUCGGAAUCGCUAGUAAUCGCGAAUCAGCAAUGUCGCGGUGAAUACGUUCCCGGGCCUUGUACACACCGCCCGUCACACCAUGGGAGUGGGUUGCUCCAGAAGUGGCUAGUCUAACCUUCGGGAAGACGGUCACCACGGAGUGAUUCAUGACUGGGGUGAAGUCGUAACAAGGUAACCGUA